UAGUAAAACUUUGUCUCGUCCGUCUUGA
rnacentral:sRNA from 1 species